AGAAAUUAUUUUGUUUCAAAUUAUUUGUCCACUUCAACUUUCAAUGCAAAAUCAUAUUUCCUAAGUCAAUUCUCCUCCACAUAUCUCUUAUUUAUAUUUCCUAGAUCAAUCUCAUACCACAUAUUAUGCUCAUUUAAUGCAAUUAAUUUGUGAACAACCGAUUUUCUUAAACUGUGUGAUUUUUUGAAUGUGGACAUCU
rnacentral:lncRNA from 1 species